rnacentral:rRNA from 1 species
AGUGAACGCUGGCGGCAGGCCUAACACAUGCAAGUCGAGCGGCAGCGCGGGGGCAACCCUGGCGGCGAGCGGCGGACGGGUGAGGAAUUCGUCGGAAUCUGCCUUUUUGUGGGGGAUAACGUAGGGAAACUUACGCUAAUACCGCAUACGUCCUACGGGAGAAAGUGGGGGACCGCAAGGCCUCACGCAGAAAGAUGAGCCGACGACCGAUUAGCUAGUUGGUGGGGUAAAGGCCCACCAAGGCGACGAUCGGUAGCUGGUCUGAGAGGAUGAUCAGCCACACUGGGACUGAGAGACGGCCCAGACUCCUACGGGAGGCAGCAGUGGGGAAUAUUGGACAAUGGGCGCAAGCCUGAUCCAGCAAUGCCGCGUGUGUGAAGAAGGCCUUCGGGUUGUAAAGCACUUUUGUCCGGAAAGAAAUCCCUGGAGCUAAUACCUUCGGGGGAUGACGGUACCGGAAGAAUAAGCACCGGCUAACCUCGUG